rnacentral:rRNA from 1 species
AUGGUUAAGACUGAACUAAGAGACUACAACUACAGCAACAUGAAGAGACUGGAUGAGGAAAAUCAGUCUCUAAAGUAUGAGCUGGUUGUAGCUAAGCAUAACAAGCAGAAAACAAAGGCAAAUACCAGAUCCAUCAAGAACAAAUUAAUGAUGGCUAGGUAUAAGAACAAGAAAAAUUGCUAUGGGCUGGUUCGUUCUUAUACAAGAUACUUGCAUGGAUUAUCUGGUCAUAUAUGCAAUGUAACAACACUCAACAGAUUGUCUGGGAAAGAACCCAUGGAUCAGCUUAUGAAUGAACCUCUUAACAACAUUGAGAAGAUAGCAUAA